rnacentral:rRNA from 1 species
ACUCCUACGGGAGGCAGCAGUGGGGAAUAUUGCACAAUGGGGGGAAACCCUGAUGCAGCCAUGCCGCGUGUGUGAAGAAGGCCUUCGGGUUGUAAAGCACUUUCAGUAGGGAGGAAGGUAGUGUAGUUAACACCUGCAUAUUGAUCGUAUCCUACAGAAGAAAGCACCGGCUAACUCCGUGCCAGCAGCCGCGGUAAUACGGAGGGUGCGAGCGUUAAUCGGAAUUACUGGGCGUAAAGCGCAUGCAGGCGGCCUGUUAAGUCAGAUGUGAAAGCCCGGGGCUUAACCUCGGAAUUGCAUUUGAAAAC